rnacentral:lncRNA from 1 species
UAGAAAUCUGAAAUGUUCAAAAUUUAUAGAUUUCCCACUACCAAUAUUUAUUAUUACAUUCCACUUUAUUGUAAUAAAUAUAAGAAUCAGACACAAAAAGGAUGCUUUUCACAUAUCAGACCAUUACACAUAGAUUCAUAUGUAUGUGAAUUGCAUGGACCAGUCACAGAAUUUACUGAUUACAUCAUUGUUGUAAAUAUCAGUUGCCAUAAGUCGAGGAUAAUUUAAAUAGAAGACUACCUAUAGUUUAAUUUAGGAAAACCAAAAAUUUUUUUUAUUAUAUAUUUGGCUUAAUUUCUUUUUGUGUUUCUAUUAGUUACAUAU